GUGCCAGCAGCCGCGGUAAUACGAAGGGACCUAGCGUAGUUCGGAAUUACUGGGCUUAAAGAGCUCGUAGGUGGUUAGAAAAGUUGGUGGUGAAAUCCCAAGGCUUAACCUUGGAACUGCCAUCAAAACUUUUUGACUAGAGUAUGAUAGAGGAAAGUGGAAUUUCUAGUGUAGAGGUGAAAUUCGUAGAUAUUAGAAAGAACACCAAUUGCGAAGGCAACUUUCUGGAUCAUUACUGACACUGAGGAGCGAAAGCAUGGGUAGCGAAGAGGAUUAGAUACCCUCGUAGUCCAUGCCGUAAACGAUGUGUGCUAGACGUUGGAAAUUUAGUUUUCAGUGUCGCAGCGAAAGCGUUAAGCACACCGCCUGGGGAGUACGACCGCAAGGUUAAAACUCAAAUGAAUUGACGGGGACCCGCACAAGUAGUGGAGCAUGUGGUUUAAUUCGAAGAUACGCGCAGAACC
rnacentral:rRNA from 1 species